GAAACAGUGUCAAUUUUUCCGCUUCUACAAUCAUGGCCACAAACGCAGCCACAAGUGAUAUUCUGUGUCGGUGAUGUUUUCUAGUGCAUUUUAGUCUCGAUGUUCACCGUGCCCGCGAUUUGGCUAUUUUUGGUUGUGUUUUCGUGGUUAAAAAUUGGAACGCUGUCAGAGAAUGACAUUGAAGUGAAUCCCUGCCAUUCUCUGCCCUCUAAUGCAGCCCAAGAAGAUGUUACGGAUGCGAGCUAUUACUGCACGUUAGUUCACUAUGAGGUUUGGAAGCAGGAUCAAGCAGAAUAUGUUAAAAACCCUCAUUGUUCACCGUCAUAUGGCAUCGAGUGUACGCUGAGGUAUACGAGCUAUGGUAUUAUGGACAGGAAAUAUCGGUGCACGAACGCUGUCAAACUAUGGACCUCGUGUGCAAAUCCAGUGCCUUUAUAUUGGAAAGGAGAGCUCACGACAUGUGCCGGAGCUGAGAAAUAUUGGAGCGAAGCAAAGCCAUUUUACGUUACGAGAAAAACGCCUCUAGAAGAAUUGGAACCGAUCUACAAUAAUCACAUUUUGCGUUCUGAUAUGCUACCCAAUACGUGGAAGGAAAAAGGAGCAUACUCUGCACAUUUCGCUGUCCAAGGAUCAAGAAAAGAAAUGGAGGAUACGUUUAUCAUUCAAGAAGAACUGCAUAUUGAAGAAAUCAAAGCAGCAUAUUUUGCAGUUUUUGACGGGCAUAACGGAAAUCAAGCAGCAGAAUUUGCUCGAAAAAAUGUAUGGCGCUAUCUAGUCAAGGAAGUCCAGAAUUCCAGGGAGACUAAAGAGCUUAAUUCUCAACCCAUGUCACUCAAACGUCCAACUGCACAGUCUCAACAAAAGUCGAAAUUUAUAAUCGAUGGUGUUGACUACAAAGCUGCUCUAAAAAAGCUGUGGAGAGAACUGACGCAGAAUUGAAGAAAAGAGUACUCAUUAAUAAUGCUGGUUCAACGGCACUGAUUGCGCUGAUUGUCGGAUCAAAGCUGAUUGUUGCGAAUGUGGGAGACUCAAGAGGAGUAAUGUGCGACUUCAUGGGAAAGGCAAAGCCAAUAUCUAUUGAUCAGAAGCCUGGGGAC
rnacentral:lncRNA from 1 species